CGUGGGGUGCAAGCGUUGUUCGGAAUUACUGGGCGUAAAGCGCGUGUAGGCGGUUUGUUAUGUCAGGUGUGAAAGCCCUCGGCCUAACCGAGGAAGUGCGCCUGAAACUGGCAGACUUGAGUACGAGAGAGGAGGACGGAAUUCCCAGUGUAGAGGUGAAAUUCGUAGAUAUUGGGAGGAACACCGGCGGCGAAAGCGGUCCUCUGGAUCGAUACUGACGCUAAGACGCGAAAGCGUGGGUAGCAAACAGGA
rnacentral:rRNA from 1 species